rnacentral:rRNA from 1 species
GCAUGGUUGUCGUCAGCUCGUGUCGUGAGAUGUUGGGUUAAGUCCCGCAACGAGCGCAACCCUUAUUGUUAGUUGCCAUCAUUUAGUUGGGCACUCUAGCGAGACUGCCGGUGACAAACCGGAGGAAGGUGGGGAUGACGUCAAAUCAUCAUGCCCCUUAUGACCUGGGCUACACACGUGCUACAAUGGGAAGUACAACGAGUCGCUAGACCGCGAGGUCAUGCAAAUCUCUUAAAGCUUCUCUCAGUUCGGAUUGCAGGCUGCAACUCGCCUGCAUGAAGCCGGAAUCGCUAGUAAUCGCGGAUCAGCACGCCGCGGUGAAUACGUUCCCGGGCCUUGUACACACCGCCCGUCACACCACGAGAGUUUGUAACACCCGAAGUCGGUGAGGUAACCUUUUUGGAGCCAGCCGCCUAAGGUGGGAUAGAUGAUUGGGGUGAAGUCGUAACAAGGUAGCCGUAUCGGAAGGUGCGGCUGGAUCACCUCCUUU